CCUGCUGUAAACCUUUCUAGUGUAGAUGCUAAUAUGACUUCUGUGAUUGAUUGAUUAAUAUGUCUAUAUCAAUCUGCAAAGUUCCUCCUGUUUUGUAAAUACCAUUUUGAUAGUAACCUGUUUGGUAACACUUAACUUUUACACUGUAGCCUCCAUCAUGGGCUGGGACAUCCAGGAGAUGGUGGCACAAAUCCAUAUAUCCAGCAGAGAUGCUAAUAAUAGGAAUGCCAUCAAGGCUGAUGACUUGAUAGUCUUUCAUUCAAAUGAGUGAGUUCCUAGAAGAAAAGUCUGGCUGCAGCCUACAGGAACUAGUUUUCACAUUUUGGACUGGGAGGAGGCUAGAGCAAAGGAACUAAUCAUCUGAUGGUUUUGUUUUUUUUAAGGAGCUCCUGCAUCCCCCUCUUCUUGCUCAGUCUUGCUGUUGUCAGCCAAUGAAAGGCCAGUGAGCACCCAAGUUCAAAAUGAUCCAAUCCUUAAAUAGAGUUUUGGCCACUUCUGCCAGGUGACACUCUUCCCCCCCCAAGCAGCCUCUCAUUGUAACGUAGACCAGGCUACAAAGUUAGGUUGACAUAGAUUGCCUUGCAUUGACUGUGCAUGUGUGUACACUAAAAUUUGUCUCUGGUCGUAAAGGCCCCAUUAAGGUAAACACAGUAAAACUACCUCCCUGAAUGAAGUCGACGCAAAGCGAACGUAGAGGCUCACAAUGCCUGACAGUGACUGCUCUGGCCACAGUUGUGCACUCUGCUGCUCAGAAGUCAGACUGGAAGCGACGCUCACUGAAAACACCUGGUGUAUUUUUUAAAUACCUUUUUCUGAUCACACACCUAGCAGCUGUCUCUUGUGUGUGCAACUGCCCAGCUGUCUAUGCUGGCUCCACACCUAGACAUGCUCCUGUCUGGUGUAGGCAGGAGGUAUUGCAUCUCCUGGGCCUGUGAGGGCACAGCUAUGGACCAGACAUAGAAAUGGACAUCCGUGAGAAGAUUGUAAGGGGGAUGCAGGUGAAAGGGGUAUGACAGGGAUCAGCAGCAGUGUCACAUGAAAGCAAAGGAACUGCAGCAGGUGUACCACUAUCUAUCAGCAGGUGUACCACCAAACUAUCUGAUGGUGAGCAGUAGACCUGCCACUUUUACAAUGAACUGCAUGUCAUACAUAUGGGACCCUGCCAGCACCCUGCAGACUACCAUAAAUACCUCGGAGCAUCCUGAGACAGCGACCUCUGCCAUAAACAGCGAGCAGGAGGGGGGUGACACAGUGGGGGAUAGUCCAGCUAUGCUGGGACCUGUUUGAGACUCUACUGCAGUCUAGUCAGUCCCACCAGCCGAGCACUGAUGAGCCCAGUGAAGGGGAAGAAACCUGGGCUGCUGCUGUUGCGGCCUUGAGGGGUGCUCCCUCUUCACUUGCAAAACACCUGACCCUGAUGAGGAAGAGAAAGAAGAGGACUAGGGAAGAUAUGUUCAGCGAGAUCAUGCAAGCCAGUGAAAAAAGGGCUUGGCUGGCUAGUGUGGCGGCCAGCAUGGAAAGGGACUGAGGACAGGAGAAAAUGGAGAGAGACCCAGGAAUCCCAACAGGAAAAGGAGAGAGAGAUGGACCAGGACAUAAUGGGACUUCUCAGGCAGCAAACAGAUGCUGCAGACUCUAGUUGACUUGCAGGUCCAACAAUCAUGGACUUUGGCCACCCUUUGCAAUUUCUGGAGAACUGUAUAGAGGCAGCUCUCUACACCCCCUGACAUUCCAUGUAGCAUCAUAGGUUGCAUCCCUACCCCUGUCACUCCAUAAUGGGGGACAGUAAGGACAAUGACAGAUUAACAUAAACCAUGUAUUCGUCUCACAGGUCAGUGUAUGUGUAGUCAAAAUGGAUUGCAUUUGUGCACUGAGAUGGGAAGAAAUGUUCGCUGCCUUUCUAAUUUUAAAAGUUCCGUUUCAUUCAUUUGUUAUAAAUUUGUAUUUGCACAUUGUGUUUUGCACUGUUUUCUCACUCAAUAAAUUUAUUUUUUGAAAAUAAA